rnacentral:rRNA from 1 species
GACGAACGCUGGCGGCGUGCUUAACACAUGCAAGUCGAACGGUGAAGGGGCCUGCUUUUGUGGGCCCUGGAUGAGUGGCGAACGGGUGAGUAACACGUGAGUAACCUGCCCCCUUCUUCUGGAUAACCGCAUGAAAGUGUGGCUAAUACGGGAUAUUCUGGGUCUGUCGCAUGAUGGGUCUGGGAAAGAUUGCGCCUUUGGGUGUUUUUGGUGGGGGAUGGACUCGCGGCCUAUCAGCUUGUUGGUGGGGUGAUGGCCUACCAAGGCGGUGACGGGUAGCCGGCCUGAGAGGGUGGACGGUCACACUGGGACUGAGACACGGCCCAGACUCCUACGGGAGGCAGCAGUGGGGAAUAUUGCACAAUGGGCGCAAGCCUGAUGCAGCGACGCCGCGUGAGGGAUGGAGGCCUUCGGGUUGUAAACCUCUUUCGCCAGUGAAGCAGGCCUGCUCCUUGUGGGUGGGUUGACGGUAGCUGGAGAAGAAGCGCCGGCUAACUACGUG